rnacentral:tRNA from 1 species
GCCUGGGUGGCUCAGUCGGUUGAGCGUCUGACUUCGGCUCAGGUCAUGAUCUCACGGUUCGUGAGUUCGAGCCCCACGUCAGGCU